rnacentral:rRNA from 1 species
AUUGAACGCUGGCGGCAGGCCUAACACAUGCAAGUCGAGCGGGUGAUGGGAGCUUGCUCCUGGAUUCAGCGGCGGACGGGUGAGUAAUGCCUAGGAAUCUGCCUGGUAGUGGGGGACAACGUUUCGAAAGGAACGCUAAUACCGCAUACGUCCUACGGGAGAAAGCAGGGGACCUUCGGGCCUUGCGCUAUCAGAUGAGCCUAGGUCGGAUUAGCUUGUUGGUGAGGUAAUGGCUCACCAAGGCGACGAUCCGUAACUGGUCUGAGAGGAUGAGCAGUCACACUGGAACUGAGAAACGGUCCAGACUCCUACGGGAGGCAGCAGUGGGGAAUAUUGGACAAUGGGCGAAAGCCUGAUCCAGCCAUGCCGCGUGUGGGAAGAAGGUCUUCGGAUUGUAAAGCACUUUAAGUUGGGAGGAAGGGUUGUAGAUUAAUACUCUGCAAUUUUGACGUUACCGACAGAAUAAGCACCGGCUAACUCUGUGCCAGCAGCCGCCGUAACAC